AACGAACGCUGGCGGCAGGCCUAACACGUGCAAGUCGAGCGAGAUCUUCGGAUCUAGCGGCGGACGGGUGAGUAACGCGUGGGAAUAUGCCCUUCUCUACGGAAUAGCCUCGGGAAACUGGGAGUAAUACCGUAUACGCCCUUAGGGGGAAAGAUUUAUCGGAGAAGGAUUAGCCCGCGUUGGAUUAGGUAGUUGGUGGGGUAAUGGCCUACCAAGCCUACGAUCCAUAGCUGGUUUGAGAGGAUGAUCAGCCACACUGGGACUGAGACACGGCCCAGACUCCUACGGGAGGCAGCAGUGGGGAAUCUUAGACAAUGGGGGCAACCCUGAUCUAGCCAUGCCGCGUGAGUGAUGAAGGCCUUAGGGUUGUAAAGCUCUUUCAGCUGGGAAGAUAAUGACGGUACCAGCAGAAGAAGCCCCGGCUAACUCCUUGCCAGCCGCCGCCGUAAGAC
rnacentral:rRNA from 1 species